AUGCAGUCGAGGGGCAGCAUCAUCAAAGCUUGCUUUGAUGGAUGGCGACCGGCGCACGGGUGAGUAACACGUAUCCAACCUGCCGACAACACUGGGAUAGCCUUUCGAAAGAAAGAUUAAUACCGGAUGGUAUAGUUUUCCCGCAUGGGAUGAUUAUUAAAGAAUUUCGGUUGUCGAUGGGGAUGCGUUCCAUUAGGCAGUUGGCGGGGUAACGGCCCACCAAACCUACGAUGGAUAGGGGUUCUGAGAGGAAGGUCCCCCACAUUGGAACUGAGACACGGUCCAAACUCCUACGGGAGGCAGCAGUGAGGAAUAUUGGUCAAUGGACGAGAGUCUGAACCAGCCAAGUAGCGUGAAGGAUGACUGCCCCAUGGGUUGUAAACUUCUUUUAUACGGGAAUAAAGUGAGCCACGUGUGGCUUUUUGUAUGUACCGUAUGAAUAAGGAUCGGCUAACUCCGUGCCAGCAGCCGCGGUAAUACGGAGGAUCCGAGCGUUAUCCGGAUUUAUUGGGUUUAAAGGGAGCGUAGGCGGGUUGUUAAGUCAGUUGUGAAAGUUUGCGGCUCAACCGUAAAAUUGCAGUUGAUACUGGCGACCUUGAGUGCAACAGAGGUAGGCGGAAUUCGUGGUGUA
rnacentral:rRNA from 1 species